AUAGAAGAAGUUUACAAAAUAUUAACUUGUGGUGUUAAAGAGGAAGAAUAUUCCUUCUAUA
rnacentral:tRNA from 1 species